AUCUGGUUCAGAACGAACGCUGGCGGCGUGCUUAACACAUGCAAGUCGAAACGCGAAAGGGACUUCGGUCCUGAGUAAAGUGGCGCACGGGUGAGUAGCGCGUAGAUAACCUGUCUUCAUGUCUGGAAUAAUACGCCGAAAGGGGUACUAAUACCGGAUAUUCUUGCUUUUCAUAAGUUAUGCAAGCAAAGGUGGCCUCUGCAUAUGCUACUGCAUGAAGAGGGGUCUGCGUACCAUUAGCUAGUAGGUGGGGUAAUGGCCUACCUAGGCGACGAUGGUUAGCGGGUCUGAGAGGAUGAUCCGCCACACUGGCACUGGAACACGGGCCAGACUCCUACGGGAGGCAGCAGUGAGGAAUAUUGCGCAAUGGGGGAAACCCUGACGCAGCGACGCCGCGUGAGUGAGGAAGGCCUUCGGGUCGUAAAGCUCUGUCAAGAAGGAAAGAAGUGUACAAUGGCUAAUACCUGUUGUAUUUGACGGUACCUCUAAAGGAAGCACCGGCUAACUCCGUGCCAGCCGCCGC
rnacentral:rRNA from 1 species